ensembl:snRNA U6 U6 spliceosomal RNA
AUGCUCACUUCAGCAACACAAACACAAGAACUGGAAGGACACGGAGAAGAUCAGCGUGGCCCCUGCUCAAGGAUGACAUGCAAAUUCAUAAAGUAUUUCAUAUUUUU